GUGCUUGCUUGGACAGCACAUAUACUAAAAUUGGAAUGAUACAGAGAUUAGCACGGCCUCUGCGUGAGGAUGACACGCAAAUUCGUGAAGGGUUCCAUAUUUUU